rnacentral:lncRNA from 1 species
AGGGGACAGAAUUUUACGAGUAUAAGCUACACUCAUGCUACACCUGAGGAUAAGGUCGGUGGUUUGUAAACCUGUCUAAACAUCAGAACUAACUUUUCAAAAAAGAAGCUUUUCAAAAAAUAUAGAUCGUCAGGCCCCACUCCUAAUGUGCUGAAUCAGGAGUUCUAGAGAGAAUGUCCUAGAAUCUUUAUUUUAAACAACUUCUAGGUAAGUUGUAUCAACUUCAUCAAGUUUAAAGAUCUCUUUUUAUUUUUUUUAAUUUUUAAAAAGAUUUUAUCUAUUUAUUUGACACAGAGAGCAAGCAAGCACAAGCGGGGGAGUGGCAUGGAGAGGGAGAAGCAGUUUCCCCACGGAAGCAGGGAGCCCAAUGCAAGGCUCAAUCCCAGGACCCUGGGAUCAUGACCUGAGCUGAAGGCAGACAUUUAACUGAUUGAGCCACUCAGGGGCCUCUAAGGAUCCCUUUUAAUCAAAACAUCUGAGUGCCUGCUCCCUCUCCCCCGGUAACUAGUGUAUUUCUUCUAUUGAGUGAGAAAAUACAUAAAGACAGAAAAAACCUAUUAUGAAUUUAGUGAUGACUUCAAGUGAAUUUGUAUUUUAUUACAUAGAACCAUAUCUACAGGUUUAAAACUGAUAUGAAUAUCAUUUUUACUGAAGCACAUGCAUGUAAGACAUUAUUUAUUCAACUUGCAGAAAUACAAGGUUGCAUAUAGGGCUUCCAAAUCCUUAUUAACCAGGAGUCCUCACCCUGACGCUAAAGUCCAUCCAUAGUCUGGAUCAAGAACUAUGGAUCCAGUGACAGGUCCUAACCCAAAUUAUGCGACAGACCAAUAAAAUAUUGGAUUUUCUACCACAGACACUGCAAAUGAGGGAGAACAGAAGUGGAAGAGGGAAAAGGCAGAAAUAGGGACUGUCACCACACCUCAUGCUCAGAUAGAUGACCCUGCCUUAUUACGGUGUUCACACGGAUGGUGGAAUAAGAUGACAGUAGCAUUUUUCUCACCAGCUAAGAUCUGGGGGAGGGGAGGGGAGAUUAUAAAUAAUAAAUAAGUGUAAUAAAAAAGAUAUGUCUGUCUGUUUCUCUCCCCUUUUCCCUAAUUGCUCUGAGAAGGUGGUCAUUUAUGUAAAGUACAAAAUCUAGUACUAGACUCCACCUUCUCCCCCAGCCCCACCC